rnacentral:rRNA from 1 species
GAUGAACGCUGGCGGCGUGCCUAACACAUGCAAGUCGAACGAAGCACUUUAGCUUGAUUCUUCGGAUGAAGGCUAUUGUGACCGAGUGGCGGACGGGUGAGUAACGCGUGGGUAACCUGCCUCAUACAGGGGGAUAACAGUUAGAAAUGACUGCUAAUACCGCAUAAGACCACGGAGUCGCAUGGCUCAGUGGGAAAAACUCCGGUGGUAUGAGAUGGACCCGCGUCUGAUUAGGUAGUUGGUGGGGUAACGGCCUACCAAGCCGACGAGCAGGAGCCGACCUGGGAGGGUGACCGGCCACAUUGGGACUGCGACACGGCCCAAACUCCUAGGGGAGGCAGCAGUGGGGAAUAUUGCACAAUGGGGGAAACCCGGAGGCAGCGGAGGCGCGUGAGCGAAGAAGUAUUUCGGUAUGUAAAGCUCUAUCAGCAGGGAAGAAAAUGACGGUACCUGACUAAGAAGCACCGGCUAAAUACGUGCCAGCCGCCGCAGUAA